UGGCGGCGUGCUUACACAUGCAAGUCGAACGAACCUUCGGGUUAGUGGCGGACGGGUGAGUAACGCGUGAGAAUCUGCCCUCAGGAGGGGGACAACAGCUGGAAACGGCUGCUAAUACCCCAUAUGCCGCGAGGUGAAAUGAAUUUCGCCUGAGGAUGAGCUCGCGUCUGAUUAGCUAGUUGGUGUAGGUAAUGGCUCACCAAGGCAUCGAUCAGUAGCUGGUCUGAGAGGAUGAUCAGCCACACUGGGACUGAGACACGGCCCAGACUCCUACGGGAGGCAGCAGUGGGGAAUUUUCCGCAAUGGGCGAAAGCCUGACGGAGCAACGCCGCGUGAGGGAUGAAGGCCUCUAGGCUGUAAACCUCUUUUAUCAAGGAAGAAGAUCUGACGGUACUUGAUGAAUAAGCCACGGCUAAUUCCGUGCCAGCAGCCGCGGUAAUACGGGAGUGGCAAGCGUUAUCCGGAAUUAUUGGGCGUAAAGCGUCCGCAGGCGGCCCUUCAAGUCUGCUGUUAAAAAGUGGAGCUUAACUCCAUCAUGGCAGUG
rnacentral:rRNA from 1 species